rnacentral:rRNA from 1 species
ACUCAAAUGAAUUGACGGGGGCCCGCACAAGCGGAGGAGCAUGUGGUUUAAUUCGAUGAUACGCGAGGAACCUUACCCGGGCUUGAAAGUUAGUGACCGAUCCUGAAAGGGAUCUUCCCGCAAGGGCACGAAACUAGGUGCUGCAUGGCUGUCGUCAGCUCGUGCCGUGAGGUGUUGGGUUAAGUCCCGUAACGAGCGCAACCCCUAUCAUUAGUUGCUACCAGGUAAUGCUGAGGACUCUAAUGAGACUGCCCGCGCAAGCGGCGAGGAAGGUGGGGAUGACGUCAAGUCAGCACGGCCCUUACGUCCGGGGCUACACACGUGCUACAAUGGAUGGUACAGAGGGCAGCUACCUGGUGACAGGAUGCCAAUCUCGAAAGCCAUUCUCAGUUCGGAUCGAAGUCUGCAACUCGACUUCGUGAAGCUGGAUUCGCUAGUAAUCGCGUAUCAGCAAUGACGCGGUGAAUACGUUCCCGGGCCUUGUACACACCGCCCGU